CGAUUACUUGCGCCCCAAGUUACUCAAGCUUCUUGUUAUCAAAGGAUUGUCGUGGAUGGGUUAAGUACACAUUAAGUUUUUUUUUCUUGCCUUGUAAACAAGGACUUUUAAUUUCAUAAUCUUGUAUGUUCGAAUGAAGGGAGUCUAGAGCCCCUUAAGUCAUUUGUUUAGUUCCAAAUUGCUCUUAAUGAAAACAUAUUUGUCAAGUUAACCAGAUCCAGAUGCAAAUAAGACUCUUAAAAUAGAAAAACAGGUGGAAAUAACUUGAAUACAUGCUGGAGAAUGCAUUAAGCAAUAAAUCUACUAAUUUAGAAAACAAACAAAGAGCUUCUGGCAAGAUUUCACCUUGUUUAGCAAGGUUGAACUUCUUGCAAUCAUUUCUCUUUGAAUUUACAAAGGUUAUAUGCUAAAAAAGGAUGAAUGGUAAAUAAGUUUACUCAGGGGAAUCAAUACUACAACAUUAGGGGAGGUAGCAGAGCUUUUAUACUAGACAAGAGAUAGCUUUUUCAAAGGACUAUCACUAGAAGGGAUUGAAUCUGUGUUGAUUUCAUCUUUUGGAUGCAAAUCUGGCUUGAUAGAAGAGUUUGUAUGUUUGUUUGUUUGAUUGAUUAAGUGUUUUUGUCUCUGUUGUCUCUUUGUCCUUUUAUAGGCAGUUUGACCUGAUUGCUGUAACUUUUGCUCUUGCCCGAAAGCACUUAGGGGGUAAUGAGUCACCAACUUUUUCUAGCAAUGCCACUGGAAAAUAUUAUUUGGCAGGUAGUAGGGUAGUCUCCAUCACUUGUCACUUCAACUAUAAACACGUAGCUUGUAUCUUGGCUGAGAA
rnacentral:lncRNA from 1 species